GGGCACGUUUCAUCGUCUUUCCUUCACACCGAGAGAAAAGACAUUUCUGAUAGGCCAAACAAACUUGGAGGUAAAUUAGCAGCAUGCCUCCUGUGGCCGCUGCAGUCAGUCACCUUCAGACAAGU
rnacentral:snoRNA from 1 species